GUGAAAGGCACAAAGUUUCAAAAAUUCCUCUUGAUUUUGCAAAUGUGUUUGAUGAUAAAAAGGUCAAUUGGUUGUGAUUCUUUGGUCAAAAGUCAAAACUUUCGCCUCUGAUUCCACAAACGAUUGCAAUUCAAAUUAGGGAUGAAAAAAAUGUCCACAAAGAUUAAACAAAAAAGAAAAAAAAAACAGUCGUUCACUCUAAAUUUAUUUUACUAUAAAAAAUUAUAAAAAUUUAAAUUUAUUUGAUAUUUUACUCAUUAUUCAU
rnacentral:lncRNA from 1 species